CACAUUUCUGUUCGCACAUCUUGUUCUUUGCGAUUUGAGAGUGCUGCACCGUAUGCCUGGUUUUGUUCAACUUAUGUGACACCAGUAAAUCGUGGCUCGCGUUUGUUGUGAAGCGUCUCCCUAGUUCUGUGUGUACGUCCUGGCUCGUAGGGUGAUCAAGGCGCUCUUGUUGUAAUGUAUCGUUGCGGAAGGUGCCCAUGUGUUUUUAACACUCUGAUGGGCUAGUUGACCACCGUAGAGGUGUACAUAAAGCGAGCAGAAUACCGUGCUGUCAUGCAUUAUGUGUGUACACGGCCGCGACCUAUGCAAAACUCGGAUGUCACAUUUUGGGACGUUACAAGAACACACCAGGGCGGUCGCCUCGAAUCGAUUUGCUCUCCGAAACCACGAAAGUAUGUCACGUCCAUUCGUGCUCGCGUCAGAUCACUACGAAUAUAGAAGCACACACACACAUAUGAAGCAGCACAUACGAGAGGGUCAUGAUCAGAUGUCCUUAUGAACGCUGCCAGAAGAAGUUCCGUGCCGUCUCCGCGUUUUGUGUGCACCUUCUUGUUCUUUCUUUGAAAAAAUAAAACAGUGAGUCUAAUUUCCUUUCUCUUUGAAGUGUUUUGAUGACUGAUGGGUGCACAUGGUUCAUUCGUAUGUUCUUCCUUUGAAAAAAUUAACGUAUUUUGAUGCCAGAGCUGACUGAUGGGUGCACAUGGUUCCUUCGUAUGUUCUUCUUUUGAAAAAAUAAACGUAUUUUGAUGCCAGAGCUGACUGAUGGGUGCACAUGGUUCCUUCGUAUGUUCUUCUUUUAAAAAAAUAAACGG